UNGUAGGCGGCUGGUCGCGUCUGUCGUGAANUCCUCUGGCUUAACUGGGGGCUUGCGGUGGGUACGGNCCGGCUUGAGUGCGGUAGGGGAGGCUGGAACUCCUGGUGUAGCGGUGGAAUGCGCAGAUAUCAGGAAGAACACCGGUGGCGAAGGCGGGUCUCUGGGCCGUUACUGACGCUGAGGAGCGAAAGCGUGGGGAGCGAACAGGAUUAGAUACCCUGGUAGUCCACGCCGUAAACGUUGGGCACUAGGUGUGGGGGGCCUUUUCCGGGUUUUCCGCGCCGUAGCUAACGCAUUAAGUGCCCCGCCUGGGGAGUACGGCCGCAAGGCUAAAACUCAAAGGAAUUGACGGGGGCCCGCACAAGCGGCGGAGCAUGCGGAUUAAUUCGAUGCAACGCGAAGAACCUUACCAAGGCUUGACAUGUGCCGGUCGGCUCCGGAGACGGGGUUUCCUCCUUGUGGGGCCAGUACACGGGUGGUGCAUGGUUGUCGUCAGCUCGUGUCGUGAGAUGUUGGGUUAAGUCCCGCAACGAGCGCAACCCUUGUCUCGUGUUGCCAGCACGUUGUGGUGGGGACUCGCGGGAGACUGCCGGGGUCAACUCGGAGGAAGGUGGGGAUGACGUCAAAUCAUCAUGCCCCUUAUGUCUUGGGCUUCACGCAUGCUACAAUGGCCGGUACAGAGGGCUGCGAUACUGUGAGGUGGAGCGAAUCCCUUAAAGCCGGUCUCAGUUCGGAUCGGUGUC
rnacentral:rRNA from 1 species